rnacentral:rRNA from 1 species
AUUGAACGCUGGCGGCAGGCCUAACACAUGCAAGUCGAACGAGUGGCGGACAGGUGCGUAAUGUCUGGGAAACUGCCCGAUGGGGGGGGAUAACUACUGGAAACGGUCGCUAAUCCCGCAUACCAUCGGAUGAGCCCAGAUGGGAUUAGCUGGUAGGUGGGGUAAAGGCUCACCUAGGCGACGAUCCCUAGCUGGUUUGAGAGGAUGACCAGACACACCGGAACUGAGACACGGUCCAGACUCAAACGGGAGGCAGCAGGGGGGAAGAUGGCACAAUGGGCGCAAGCCUGAUGCAGCCAGGCCGCGUGUAGGAAGAAGGCCUUCGGGUUGUAAAGUACUUUCAGCGGGGAGGCGUUACCCGCAGAAGAAGCACCGGCCAACUCCGUGCCAGCAGCCGCGGUAAUUC